rnacentral:rRNA from 1 species
GACGAACGCUGGUGGCGUGCUUAACACAUGCAAGUCGAACGGUAAGGCCCUUCUUUUGUGGGGUGCUCGGGUGGCGAACGGGUGAGUAACGCGUGAGUAACCUGCCCUGCACUUUGGUAUAACUUCAGCAAACGGGAGCUAAUCCCGUACAGGAGCUCCUGCUGCUUGGUGGGGGUUGGACUGUUUCGGCGGUUGGGGCUGGACGCGCGGCGUUCCAGCCUUUUGGUGGGGUAGUGGCUUACCAAGGCUUCGACGGGUAGCCGGCCUGAGAGGGUGACCGGCAAGAUUGGGACUGAGAUACGGCCCAGACUCCUACGAGAGGCAGCAGUGGGGAAUAGUGCAAAAUGGGCGGAAGCCUGAUGCAGCAACGCCGCGUGCGGGAUGAAGGCCUUCGGGUUGUAAACCGCUUUCGCCUGUGACGAAGCGUGAGUGACGGUAAUGGGUAAAGAAGCACCGGCUAACUACGUG